AUUGAACGCUGGCGGCGUGCUUAACACAUGCAAGUCGAUCGGUAACAGGUGUAGCAAUACAUGCUGACGAGAGGCGGACGGGUGAGUAAUGCUUGGGAAUCUGCCUAUUAGUGGGGGACGAACCAGGGGAAACGUCGGGCUAAUACCGCAUACGCUCUACGGAGGAAAGACCGGGGACCGCAAGGCCUGGCGCUAAUAGAUGAGCCCAAGUCGGAUUAGCUAGUUGGUAGGGAACGGCCUACCAAGGCGACAAUCCGUAGCUGGUCUGAGAGGACGACCAGCCACACCGGAACUGAGACACGGUCCGGACUCCUACGGGAGGCAGCAGUGGGGAAUAUUGGACAAUGGGGGCGAACCCUGAUCCAGCGACGCCGCGUGGGUGAAGAAGGCCUGCGGGUUGUAAAGCCCUUUCGGUGGGGAAGAAAAGUCUCGACCUAAUACGUCGGGACCUUGACGUAACCCACUAAAGAAGCACCGGCUAACUCUGUGCCAGCCGCCGCCGU
rnacentral:rRNA from 1 species